GAUGCAAGCGUUAUCCGGAAUGAUUGGGCGUAAAGCGUCCGCAGGUGGCGAUGUAAGUCUGCUGUUAAAGAGUGAGGCUCAACCUCAUAAGAGCAGUGGAAACUACAUAGCUAGAGUACGUUCGGGGCAGAGGGAAUUCCUGGUGUAGCGGUGAAAUGCGUAGAGAUCAGGAAGAACACCAGUGGCGAAGGCGCUCUGCUAGGCCGUAACUGACACUGAGGGACGAAAGCUAGGGGAGCGAAUGGG
rnacentral:rRNA from 1 species